UACGUAGGGGGCAAGCGUUAUCCGGAAUUAUUGGGCGUAAAGCGUGGUAAUUUAAGCGCAAGGUUUAAACUAACGGCUCAACCGUUAAAUGCCAUGCGAACUGGGUUACUUGAGUGCUGGAGGGGAAAGCGGAAUUCCUAGUGUAGCGGUGAAAUGCGUAGAUAUUAGGAGGAACACCGGCGGCGAAGGCGGCUUUCUGGACAGCAACUGACACUGAGGCACGAAAGUGUGGGUAGCAAACAGG
rnacentral:rRNA from 1 species